rnacentral:rRNA from 1 species
GUCCACGCUGUCAACGAUGAGUGUUACAUGUUGGAACAAAAUAUUGUUUUGGUGUGUCAGCUAACGCGUUAAACACUCCGCCUGGGGACUACGAUCGCAAGAUUAAAACCUAAAGGAAUUGACGGAAACUUGUACAAGCGGUGGAGCAUGUGGUUUAAUUUGAUACGGAACGAAAAAUCUUACCAACUCUUUAAAUAUAAGAUGAAAAAGAUCUUAAAAGGAUUUGUCUGUUUUUCUAAAACAUUGUUGUGGAAAAAAUAAG